AAACAUUUACACAUGUGGAAGCUACUGCUGCAGGAAAUAGAAUCACUGCUGAAGCUGUACAUCUUUGUGAUGGUGCCCUUACAGGAAUGCAAGGCAAGAAGACUACACGGAAUGGAAAAGGCAACAGAAGGAUGCAGAGGAUACUGGAAAAGUAGAGCUGAGCAACCAUCAUUGCUUCUGGAACGCACAGUCA